GGUCAGAUGGCCGAGCGGUCUAAGGCGCCAGCUUCAGGUUCUCCUGUUUGAAUUUAUCUAGCUUCCUCUCCUCUUCUGAGGAGGAGUGCAGUAAUAUGCUGGUCUAGUAAUAGGCGUGGGUUCGAAUCCCACUCUGAUCA